GAUUAACGCUGGCGGCGUGCAUAACACAUGCAAGUCGAACGAUGAAACUUAACUGAUUUCUUCGGAAUGAUUUUAAGUGGAUUAGUGGCGGACGGAUGAGUAACGCGUGAGUAACCUGCCUUGGAGAAGGGGAUAGCCUUUGGAAACGAAGAAUAAUACCCUAUGAUAUGAUAAUAUCUCAUGAUAUUAUCAUCAAAGAUUUAUCGCUCUAAGAUGGACUUGCGUCUGAUUAGUUAGUUGGUGAGGUAACAGCUCACCAAGGCAGCGAUCAGUAGCCGGCUUGAGAGAGUGUACGGCCACAUUGGGACUGAGACACGGCCCAGACUCCUACGGGAGGCAGCAGUGGGGAAUUUUGCACAAUGGGGGAAACCCUGAUGCAGCGACGCCGCGUGAUUUAGAAGGCCUUCGGGUUGUAAAAAUCUUUUGUAUGGGAAGAAAAUGACAGUACCAUACGAAUAAGGACCGGCUAAUUACGUG
rnacentral:rRNA from 1 species